AACGAACGCUGGCGGCAUGCCUAACACAUGCAAGUCGAACGAGACCUUCGGGUCUAGUGGCGCACGGGUGCGUAACACGUGGGAAUCUGCCCUUUGCUUCGGAAUAACAGUUAGAAAUGACUGCUAAUACCGGAUGAUGUCGAAAGACCAAAGAUUUAUCGGCAAAGGAUGAGCCCGCGUAGGAUUAGGUAGUUGGUGGGGUAAAGGCCUACCAAGCCGACGAUCCUUAGCUGGUCUGAGAGGAUGAUCAGCCACACUGGGACUUAGACACGGCCCAGACUCCUACGGGAGGCAGCAGUGGGGAAUAUUGGACAAUGGGCGAAAGCCUGAUCCAGCAAUGCCGCGUGAGUGAUGAAGGCCUUAGGGUUGUAAAGCUCUUUUACCAGGGAUGAUAAUGACAGUACCUGGAGAAUAAGCUCCGGCUAACUCCGUG
rnacentral:rRNA from 1 species